rnacentral:lncRNA from 1 species
CCUGUGGUUGCUCUUUGUGCUCAAGUCUUCUCUUGACCCUGUUCUUAGAACCAGGCACCCCAACACCUGCUGGAACCUGAGGGUUGAGAAUUUGCUGUUUGAAAGAGGGUGGCAACUGCCCCUUCCCCUGCCUCCCUGACCUCAACUCCUACUCCUCACUGCCCUGGGCUGCCCUCAUGUGGAGUGUGGUGCCCCCUUAUUUCUGCAGGGCUCACUCCCUCACCUCCUGUUCGGAUGUCACUUUCCCAGGGAGGCCUCCUCCAACCUCCCUGUUCGAACCUGCACUUCACUCUAUCUCCCUUCUAUGCUUCAUCGUCCUCCACGCCAUUUACCUCUAAAAUCACUUCUUACCUUUUACUCACUACCUGCACGUCACCUCCUUUAGGUCAACAUCCGUUUCGUUCACUGGUCUGUCCCCACUGCCUAGAACGUGCCUGACACACACAUCCAUCAAUAUUUGUUAAAUGAAGGAAAGGGGCUUCCCUGAUGGCUCAGAUGCUAAAGGGUCUGCCUGCAGUGCGGGAGACCGGCUUCGAUCCCUACCUAGAGAGAAAGACAGGGGGCAGGGACAAAUGGGGGAGGCUAGGCUUUCACCAAGGUCUUUGGGCAGGGCCCACCUCUCACCACCUCUCACCACCCCUCCUCUGGACCCAGUCCGCCCUCUCCCCUACAGGUGGGGGCCCGGGGUUACCGGGCUGGGGAUUUCGUCAACCCCGCUUCCUUGUCGCCCACCUACCCCUGAAGCUAGGGCUGCGGCGAGGGCGGAGGCGGGGGCCCGGAGCUGGGGCCACGCGUCCGGGAUCGGAAGGGGGCCGAGCCUCCCUCGGGCGGGCGGCGGGCAGAGUGGGGAGGGCGCCUCGCGGGGGAGGAGCUGGGGGCAGGGAGCGAGGAGCGGCGGCGGGCGCGGGAAGGGGAGCCUAGAGCCGGAGCCGCAGGGCGCCGGGAGGUGGGCAUCGCGAGGGCGCGGGGCCAGGGCAGGGCCCCCGGGGCGGCGGGGCGGGCGGCGCGCCCCAGGCUCCACUGGGGAGGUCGCGGCGGAGAUGCGGCGGCCGCCGGCGGGGAGACGAAGCGCUGGCCGAAGACGAGGACCCGGGCCGGCGAGCCCGCGGUCCGCACCUGCGUGCCCGGGAGCGGAGACGUUGGAGCUGGGAAGCAUAUGAUACGGCUAGAGUCUGUAUGAUGUGGACUCCAGGGAAGAUGCUACUGGGCUCAGGAGAGGCUGAAAGUGAAAGUGAAGUCACUCAGUCAUGUCCAACUCUGCAACCCCAUGGACUGUAGCCUACCGUGGGAUGUUCCAGGCAAGAAUACUGGAAUGGGUUGUCGUUUCCUUCUCCCAGGAGAGGCUGAGGAAGGGCCUAACUUCGCUUUGAUGACUGCCAGGACUGUGGUGGGCAGGGGAGAAGCUCCCGGGUACGGCUGGUAGUUCUGACAAUGGUGACAUCACUGGCUAAAACGGACAGCGAUGCCUUGUUUCUAGCGAGGGAAGAGACCUUGUCACCUGGAGACCUGAACAUGGUUGGAUCCAUCCUGGAGAAACCAGAGAAGUCAUCAUUUACUAUGUUGGGCAUUAAGAUCCAUGCUCUAAUCAGUUCUCCCUAAACUCUGGCGAGGUGUGAAUUAUCACCUUCAUCACUGGAACUCGGAGAGCUUAAGUAACUUACCCAAUGGUCACAGCAAGCAAGUGGAGCGAGAGGGACUGGGACUUGAGCCUGCCUUACCCAAAAUGUGUGCUUAUUGCCAUUCCCCUCCAGCUCUGUUAUUAUGGUUACAUUUAUCCAGGAUGCUACAAUUACAUCUUAUCAUAUAUAUGAUCUUAUUGGAACACCCCUUUGGGGCAGCAUAGCCAUGCUAAUGUUCCCGUUUGUUACAAACAAACUGAGGGUCAAAGAGAAAUCAUGUCUUGCCCAUGAUUACCCUGCUGAUCAGUGGCAGAGCUGGGCUCAGAACUCAGAAAUUUGGGACUAGGAUGUAUGGAUAGGUAUUAACGUGUCAGAAUCAAGGUAUCAACGCUGGUUCCAAUACUACGAGUGCUGGUCAUGUGCUUUUCUUUUUUAUAAUGUACAAAACUGAUUAAGAAAAAAUAUGAAAAUCUCAAUUCCCUACGAAAGAAUAUAUAUGUGUGUGUGAAUGUAUUUAUAAAACAUACUUACAGAUUAAAGACUAACAACAACCAUGUACUCACUACUGCCUUAAGAAACAUCGCUGAUACCUUUAAAACCCCUCCGUGAUGAUCAAAUCCCUGUUUCCUUUCCCCUCUAGUGGUAAACACUAGCUUUAAUUUUAUUGCUAUUUUUAUUUAUUUAUUUACUACACCGCUUGUGGGAUUUUAAUUCCGUGAUCAGGGAUCAAACCCAUUCCCUUUCUAAUGAAAGCUCUGGACCGCCAGGGAAUUCCCUGAGUUUUAUGUUGAAUGUCUCCUUGCUUUUCCUUAUGGCUUUGCCACAUAUAUUUAUAUCCUUAAACAGUUUGUUUCCUCUGGCAUGUUUUUGUUGUUGGCACUGUUAUGCACGCGCUUUGAUUUACCCAGUUUUGCUGCUCUAGCAGCCGGCACAGGAAUACGCCGUAUUCUGCCAUCCUGCUCCUGAUGGAUGCUUGGGUGCUUUCCAGUUGUUUGCUGUUACAAUCAUUACUACUGUGAUUAUUCUUGUUGCUGUCUGCCGGGGAACACACUGAAAAGUUUCUCUGUCUUAUGUACCUGGGAGUGGAAUUACUGGGUCAUGAGGUGGUCAUUACAGUUUUAGAUUUAUGACAUAAGGCCAAAUUGUUUGCUAACAAGUGUACUCCAAAGUAUACUUAACCAGUGGGAGGUGAUAAUUUCUGUUGCUCCCACCUUUACCAAAUGACAUGACUCAACUAGAUUAAAAUUUUUUACCUACCUGCUGACUGAAGACAGUAGCUCAUUGUUUGAAUUUUUGGUUUUUUACCUUAUUUGAAAUUACAUACGAUUUCUGUUUUUUAUCUUAUUAUUUGAUGGGAGGGUUGACUAUGGACCUAGAGUCUAUAUCUCCAAAGGUAGCUGGAUUGUGGGAAAUUCCCCCAACUUUGUUCAAGUUGGGGAAGAACAGUAGGCAGGAGACAGCCUCAGAAUUGUGUGACUCCCAAGCGGCAGGUAUAAACAGUGGAAUAUUACUCAGCCGUAAAAGGAACAAAACAGUGUCAUUUGCAGAGACAUGGAUGACCUAGAAGCUGUCAUACACAGUGAAGUAGAUCAGAAAGAGAAAAACAGAUAUUGUAUAUUAAUGUUUCUAUGUGGAAUCUACAAAGAUUUGGUACAGAUGAACUUAUUUGCAAAGCAGAAAUAGAGACACAGAGGUAGGGAACAAACUUAUGGAUACCAAGGAGUGCAUGGGGAAGGGAUGAGCUGGGAGAUUGGGAUCGACAUAUAUACAGUACUAUGUAUAAAAUAGAUAGCUAAUGAGAACCUACCGUAUAGCACAGGGAACUCUAUUCAGUGCUCUGUGGCAAGCUAAAUGGGAAGGAAAUCCAAAAAAGAGAAGACAGAUGUAUUCACAUAACUGAUUCCCUUUGCUGUACAGCAGAAACCAACACAACAUUGUAAAGCAGCUAUACACCAAUAAAAAUUAAUUAAAAAAAGAAUCAUGUGGCCUCCUACAAAGCUCCAGUCUGGCAUUCCUGUCCAAGGCAAUCCACACUGUCCUUCUUCCCAAGAUGUCACCCACCAGCCUCCCGGGCCUUUCUGAGCCCACACCUUUCACUGGAAUGAGGUCAUUGGAAUGCCUGGAACCCAAGGAGUGACCCCCUGGGUUUGUGGGGCAAGCACACCAGCCUUCCGUGGGAAAUGACGCCACCUCGCUCACCCAGACCGUCUGGAGGGAAGAAAAUUCCGAACAGUCCAACCUGACUUCACAUUUUCCCUGUGAACCAAAGGAGAGCUUCAGCCAGAGGCCUUUGGGAGUGGAGGAUGGGGCAAGGAGGCUGGUGGGGUAGCGGGAAGGAAUCACCAUUUUCCUGUAUCUCCAGGAGAUCCCAAACCAGCUUCAUGCCUAGAAGCAAACGUGCCGGAAGGCUUUUCUUCCUGGACUGAGGCAGUGUGGAGAGGAGUGGAAAUGUCAGAGCUGACCCUGGACCCGGUUUUUC